UGCAAAUGAUAAGAUUUCACGCUUUCUGGGGGUUGAUUAGUAUUCUAUGAUGUGUACAUAUCAUGAUAUACAAAAUCUAUAGUCCGUGAAAACAUAUUCCAUCAAGUGUAUAUACUACGUAUUAUUUUGGAACCAAGAAUACUUAAAUUGUCUUCCUUCAAUUCCAGAGGGUCACUUGAGCGAAAUUUCUCUUCUUCCAGUGGAGGUGGCAGUCAGUGAUCUGAUUGGUCAUUUGGAAGGUGAAAAUUGACCCGCCCUUUUUCCUCCGCCCACGGGAAGUGCCCGCUGUAUGCCAGUCUUCCGGUCUGUAAAACUGACACAUACCAACUUUUCCCCGGCGCCAUUUUCUUUCCGCUGCUGCUUGUGACGACGUUGGCAAGUCUGUUGGAGGGCUUCAGUUUCUGGAACUGAAUCUUGAUCUUUCUGAGAAGAGCACCUGGGCUUCAUUGGCUCCACCAGGUAAGGAAAAAAUGUGGGAAUGGCUCAUACUGCCUAAGUUAGCAUUUCAUUAAUGAUUAAUUUCAAUUUUAGAUACCAUUUGAGCAUCAAUCUUCUUUUCUUAAUAGAGGAAAAAAAAACCCU
rnacentral:lncRNA from 1 species